CCGCUGGAUUGGUGGUGUGUCAAUGAGAUCUUUAGGGAAAUGAAGCAAACGUGCGAUGUUUGAUCACGACAGAGAAGAGCUCGCGCUUACAGGUUACAGAUUGCAUGAUCGCACACGCGCCGCGCCGCACUCACGUCACUUUCCGUCGUCAUCCUCCUCUCAGCGCGAGCGAACCUCACAGCCUGGCACAGAGCGCGUGCUCGACUUCGCGGAGUGCAAUGGCUCUGAGCUCACACCCGCACGCCAGCCUGAUGUGUGGACACGGGCAAACACCGAGCCGAGAUCAGAGAGAGGAGGAGCAGGAGUAGGAAUGAACACGACCGUACUCUUCUGCCUCAGCACUGUGGACCGGUAAAUGCUCUCAGGCCAACCUUUAACCACCAUGCUCUAUUUUCAGCUGGUGAUCAUGGCGGGGACGGUCAUGCUGGCCUACUACUUCGAGUACACGGACACGUUCAACGUGCACGUGCAGGGCUUUUUCUGCUACGACAACGCGUACACGAAGCCGUACCUGGGACCGGAGGAGGCGAGCGCCAUCCCGCCCGCGCUGCUCUACGCCGUGGUGGCCGGUGUGCCCACACUCGUGAUAACAGUGACAGAAGCUGUGCUGUUCCUGAUGCAAUAUACAUCAAAAGAUCUGGAGAGUCGAAAGAAGACCAUUGCGACUGGGGACUGCUGUUACCUCAACCCUCUGGUGCGCAGGACUUGCCGCUUUUUGGGUGUAUACAUGUUUGGCCUCUUCACUACCGACAUCUUUGUGAACGCGGGUCAGGUGGUGACAGGAAAUCUGGCCCCUCAUUUCCUGACUGUGUGUAAACCCAACUACACCGCACUGGGCUGCCAGCAGGCCCUACGCUACAUCAGCCACCAGGAGGCCUGCACCGGCAACGGGGAGGACAUCCUGCGUGCCCGCAAAACCUUUCCCUCCAAAGAGGCAGCACUAAGCAUUUACGCCGCGCUCUAUCUUGCUAUGUACAUCACUUGCUCAGUGAAAGCCAAAGGCACUAGGUUGGCCAAGCCAGUCAUGUCUCUGGGGCUGAUGUGUCUGGCCUUCCUGACAGGGAUCAACAGGGUGGCAGAAUACCGCAACCACUGGUCUGAUGUAAUCGCUGGCUUUAUCAUCGGCGUGGCCAUUGCCACCUUUCUGGUUGUGUGUGUGGUCCAUAAUUUCAAAGGAAACCAGAUGUUAAGUGAAGACCCCCAGCAGGAGGACAUGAUGGGCUCGCCCAGGGUGGAGAGUCCCCUUGAAAAAUACAUUGCCUCGCAGAUGGCUGAGCUAAGAGCGGAAGAGGAGGCGUUGACACCCCGCUCUCUGAAAGCACGCCUCCUAAGCUUCUUUGAAUGGAUCGGAGGCAAAAGAAGCCACUUCAACCACCUGCAGAGCACAAGGCAAUAAUAAACCUAGGAACACCUGUGUGAGUGCCGUACGCCAAGCCUCUGGAAUACAGCUCAGUGUUAUAAAAUCCCUGUUUUUAAGCCUGAUCACGUGCAUUUAGCAUGGAAAAACCACUGACCUGUUUAUAAUCAGCCUGUAUCCAGAGUGUUUGGCCUGGCUAGCUGAUUCAUCCUGUCCUAUAUAGAGUGCUUUUCACUGUCCUCCUUUAAGUUGAUGCAGACAGACUGGUAUUAUAUUGUCUGCCUUGAACUUGGAUUAGAACAUCGCUGUUCUUUCACAUUAGAGUGGCUACAAACCUGAACCAAUUGGUCUAAUACUUUUGAGAGCAUCAUUUGAGUCAAAGGUCAGCCAAUAGAUGUUGAUUGUCCACAAGAUAUUUUUUAGCCAUGUGUCUUGAGCUCAAGAAUUGUUUUACUGGCUCUUAAUGGGCAGAUCUGGUAAUAAAUCUUUGUUUCCAGUGUAACUUUAUUAGAACCUAUGAUUCACCCUGCCAGGGCCAAGCAGAAGUUGAUAUAAUACAUUUCAAAAUAUCCAAUUUCUCCAGAGAGCCUAGGCUGAAUUUAACUCCCCAGGCACAGCUGUCGUCCACGGCUGAUCUGUGUACUGAUUUAGCCCAAGUGUUUAACCAUCAAUUAAACCACAUACUGCAGUCUUAACACUGAGCUCCCAGUUACAGGCUAAUUACACCGUAAGUGUGGACCUUUAAACAAAAUUUACAAUAGUUAGAAGAAGAACAUGUGCAAGCCAACGACUCGCUGUUUUAAUCCCAGAUUGCUGUGUUGAUUUUUAUUUAUUUAUUUUUAAUCUGUUUAGUUUGCAGAUUUGUUUUGUUGCAUGGGGUGGAUUGUGUAGAAUGAGAAUGAUACUGUGACCAAUAAAAAUGCUCAUGACUCCCACCCCCCACCCCCCAGGUUUUGUUUCAAGGUUCAAGAGAUGCUUAUCAGUGAUAUUUGUCUUUGGUGACAAAGCACACGUAGAUGAAUAGCAUGUGAGAGAGGACGUUGGAGGACAGUGACAUACCCUAUUCUGCUCAGCUGUUGACAAAAACAUCCCUUAGCUCAGACUGCUGUCACAACCUAUAAUAGAGAUGAAAUGUGUUCUCAUGAAGGGGAGUGAGCAGACUGAAUGCAGUGUACUGUUGUAUUGCAGAUGCAUUUUAACUAUAAAUGUCACUGAUGACCGGAUUCAUUUUGUCCACUCUAAGGACCAGUGUCUGUACCUCUGUGUGCUAUUUGGAGUGAACAGUGAUCAUAAUCACACGGUGUUGUGACUGGUGACAAAGUUAAAAAAAAUUCAUGUUUAGAACCGGUAUAAUUAGUAUAUGUAAGUGCAGAAAACAAAAAGCAGUGCUUCUUUAUUGAGAUAUUUGUAUAUCCUGAUCUCUGACAGCUCUCCUUCACUGCUAUGUACAAAUUGUGUUCCUCUGAUACAGACUCCUUUGCUUUCAGAUUUGGCCUGCAGACAGGGGUUAUUUGGCAGCUGAACAACAUUAUUAAGGUAGCACAAGGCCACUAGUGGCUGCGCUGCAUGGCUGCAUCCCCGGCUUUAUGGUGUGCUUCUCCUUAACACCUCAUCAGUUUCCAGGUGGCACAAAGCUAGAAUGGCUGCUCAAAACAAAUCCUACUCCCCUCUUUUUUACCACCAAACCAGCUCCACACAGCUGCCUGAAGAUCAGAGACUAAUCAGACUGCAAGAAGUUUUCAUUCUAACAUAUUACAAUGUCUGUAUGUGCAUGAGGGAGAAAUAAUCACAUCGCCUUCGAUGAAGUCACAUGACCUUGAGUCAGCAGUGUGGCAGACGCAUUGGACAUCCACACUCUUUACCGUGCAGUCGUCAUAGUCAUGGUGCACACUACCCGCGCAAGUCAUAUCCUCAAUGGUGGUGUUUUGGAUCACACUCCCCAACAACUCCUCCCCCCUGCAUAUAUGUGUACUGCUGUUUGCACAAGGUACCCCCAUACGACCACACGCAUUCGCCCUCUGGUUUGUGUUUUCUGAUUGUGAGCCAUGACACCUGGAACUCAAAUCAACCCAGGAUUCACUGUGUGUAGCUGGAGAGACUGCGUCUGUGUAAGACAACCAGAAUUUGCCACUUAUCAGAUUUAAGAAGAUAUGAACUUAUUGCUGUUGAUGUGUGUAUUUUCUUCUUAUUUCCACACUGUAUCAUAUGUAUAAUACAUCAUGCUACAAUUUUUGUCAAUAUAUAUGUGACAUAACGUUUAAUUCUUUCACUUGAGAGUUACCCAUGCCCAAACACUGGUCAUAAAACCUUUUUCAAAUCUGUUUAAGAAGUGCACUUUAAUUAGCAAAUUCAAGGAAUCACAAAAUCGAAAAACCAGAGGUUACGAACCUCAUGAUUCUAAUGAUACAGUCCAUAGAGAAGCCUUAUGGAGCCUGGUAUAAGCACGUCCUGGCCUGCUGGGCAUCCUCCUGUCCCUCAUUCUGCUGAGUGAAGAAUGGAUCAGUUGUGUAGACAAUCACCACUGCUCUUUUUAGAGGCAUUCCAGGAAAAUUUACUAAAUCAAAGUUUUGCAUAAGUCCAGAUACAGGUCAAGAGCUUCGAUUGCUGUUCACAUCAAAUAUCAGAAUGGGGGAAAAUGUCAUCUCAGUGACUCUGACCGUGGCAUCAUUGUUGGUGCCAGACGGGCUUGUUUGAGUAUUUUAGAAAGAGUUGAUUUGAUGAAGUUCAACUCAGACACCAGAGCAGGGGGAAGAUCUGGGAUCCUGACCCUGGAAUUUUCACGCACAACAGUUUCAACAGUAGCACAGAAUGAUGGAAAAAGCAGGGGGGAAAAAAUCUGAGUGGCAGUUCCUCUGAUGGAAAUGCCUUGCUGAUGAGAGAGGUUAGAAAAGAAUGGACUUUGAACUGACAGGAAGGCUAACAGAAAUAAGCACUCUUUACAACAAAGGUGAGCAGAAAAGCAUGGCAGAAAACAUCACACAUCAAACCAUGAACUAGAUUGUGUACUACGUGACCAUAGUGCUCACCAGGCUGGCCAUUCUCCUCUGUCCUCUUUGAUCAACAAGUUGUUUCCAACUCCAGAACUGGAUGAUUUUUUUUGUUGUUUGCACAUUUUUUAUAUUCUCUUAUGUGUGAAAAUGCCAGGAUCAGGAACCCAGAUCACACCCCCCCCCAUUCUCACGAUGCAUGAAUGAGCAGGUGUACAGCCGCUACUAUUAAAGUGGCCGAUGAGCGUACAUCACUUACUAUAACAAUACUUGAACCAGUGGUUAAGGUAAGACCAUAAUGCUGAAAGCUGAUUCUCUUUCUCUCAGGCCUGUGUUAUUUUUAACCUCUUAUUGUUGUUUCUCAUUUUCUAUUUGCUUCUAAUUUCAAGUAAUUGGCAUGUGAUAGUUCUGUUAUGUCUGGAGAGAUGCCAUAGAUGACACCUGUAACAUGAAAAUCAAACCGAGAUACCUCAGAUGCAAUGAAUUCAAUGACCAGAUGUUUAAAUCUUUAUCAAUCUAAUCUGAAACACAGGGUGGAAGCAGCAGAAUUGAAUUGCAGUGAAAUAUUUGAGCUGUAUGUCAGCCUCACUCCAGUAGCCUCUGGAAGAUUAGUGUCCAGUCCAAGGUGCUACAGUACAUGACGAUGACUUUCUGCACUUACAAAUGCUUUGCCAGUUGCAGUCGCCUCCUGCUUGCUCAUGUGACCAGUUCAUAGAAGAGCAAUAACAUUUAAAGCUUUCCCCACUGGCAUGGACCCAUGUUUCCUUGGAACAUGGUCUAUUUUUCUAUCAGAAUUCAAGCACUUUAAAACCACAUAAAUAUCACCUGCAAACUAAAAGAAGAUAUCCAUUACACAACUUUCAGAAGCACUUAUAGUGUUAAUCAGGAUCUACUAAUCUAACGAAUGUGGACUAAAGUUACUGCAGUGCUUGUAAACAGUAUUAAAGUCUAAUUAAUAAAUAAGACACGAAGAGUGAAAAUGCACAUACAGUAUAGUUUCUCAGAUUUUUCUUACUGUUUAUUUUCUCACGUUUGUACAGUAUGUGUUGUGUGUCUUAUAAAAGAACAAAAAGUGUAUAUUGUACCAGGUGCGAUCUUCAUCUUAAACGUAACAGACAGAAAAAAUCCUGAGAAUCUGUGGUAUAACUUGUUGAAUUACUGCUCCGAUGACCGGAAUUAAUUUCUCAUUUUAAACACUGAUUUGUUUAUAACA